GACGACGCUGGCGGGCGUGCCUAACACAUGCAAGUCGAGCGGAGAUAGACUGAUGGUAACUGAAGUUUGUCUUAGCGGCGGACGGGUGAGUAACACGUGGGCAACCUGCCUUGGGAGUGGGGGAUAACACCGGGAAAUCGGUGCUAAUACCGCAUAACAUACACAAACUGCAUGGUAAGUGCAUCAAAGGAGUAAUCCGCUUUAAGAUGGGCCCGCGGCUGAUUAGCUAGUUGGUAAGGUAACGGCUUACCAAGGCGACGAUCAGUAGCCGACCUGAGAGGGUGACCGGCCACACUGGAACUGAGACACGGUCCAGACUCCUACGGGAGGCAGCAGUGGGGAAUAUUGCGCAAUGGGGGGAACCCUGACGCAGCAACGCCGCGUGGAGGAAGAAGGUCUUCGGAUUGUAAACUCCUGUCUUCUGGGACGAAGUAUGACGGUACCAGAGGAGGAAGCCACGGCUAACUACGUG
rnacentral:rRNA from 1 species